rnacentral:rRNA from 1 species
AACGAACGCUGGCGGCGUGCUUAACACAUGCAAGUCGAGCGGUAAGGCCCUUUCGGGGGUACACGAGCGGCGAACGGGUGAGUAACACGUGGGUGACCUGCCCUCAGCUCUGGGAUAAGCCUGGGAAACCGGGUCUAAUACCGGAUAUGACUCCAUGACGCAUGUUGUGGGGUGGAAAGCCUUGUGCGGCUGAGGAUGGGCCCGCGGCCUAUCAGCCUGUUGGUGGGGUGAUGGCCUACCAAGGCGACGACGGGUAGCCGGCCUGAGAGGGCGACCGGCCACACUGGGACUGAGACACGGCCCAGACUCCUACGGGAGGCAGCAGUGGGGAAUCUUGCGCAAUGGGCGAAAGCCUGACGCAGCGACGCCGCGUGAGGGAUGACGGCCU